CCUACGGGAGGCAGCAGUGGGGAAUUUUGCGCAAUGGGGGCAACCCUGACGCAGCAACGCCGCGUGAGUGAUGAAGGCUUUCGGGUCGUAAAGCUCUGUCUAGAGGGAAGAAAUGUUUUAUGGUUAAUACCCAUGAUGCUUGACGGUACCUCUGAAGGAAGCACCGGCUAACUCCGUGCCAGCAGCCGCGGUAAUACGGAGGGUGCAAGCGUUGUUCGGAUUUAUUGGGCGUAAAGCGCGUGUAGGCGGUUUGUUAAGUCUGAUGUGAAAGCCCUGGGCUCAACCUGGGAAGUGCAUUGGAAACUGGCAGACUUGAAUACGGGAGAGGGUAGUGGAAUUCCUAGUGUAGGAGUGAAAUCCGUAGAUAUUAGGAGGAACACCGGUGGCGAAGGCGGCUACCUGGACCGAUAUUGACGCUGAGACGCGAAAGCGUGGGUAG
rnacentral:rRNA from 1 species